AUGAACAUUUUAUUGUAAAGUUUAGAAAAAUCAUUAAAGUAAUUAUGCUAAAGAGGUUAGUAAUGUGUGUGUGUGUGUGUGUGUGUGUGUGUGUGUGGACCAGAGAAGAGUGGAUUUACCGUGUGCUGUCCUCAAACAGAAACAACCUCUUUGUGACAAUUAAAAUUAUUUAAAAAAUAAAUAAAAAUUAUAAUCAUAAAGAU